AAAACACCAGUUCCCGUACAAUCACAGAAGUUAAGCAAGGUCGAGUCUGGUUAGUAAACUAGAUGGGUGACCGCUUGUGAAUACCAGGUGCU